rnacentral:tRNA from 1 species
CAGUCGUUAUAUCAACGGUUAGAUUAUCGCAUUGUGGAUGCGAAGAUUCGGGUUCGAGUCCCGGACGGCUGA